rnacentral:rRNA from 1 species
AGAAUGAACGCUGGCGGCGUGCUUAACACAUGCAAGUCGAACGGAAUCCAAGGAGCUUGCUCUGGAAGAUUUAGUGGCGAACGGGUGAGUAUCACGUGAGCAACCUGCCCCGAAGAUUGGGAUAACACCGGGAAACCGGUGCUAAUACCGAAUACCCUCCACAUGUCGCAUGACAAGUAGAGGAAAUGUUUUUCGCUUCGGGAGGGGCUCGCGGUCCAUCAGCUUGUUGGCGGGUAACGGCCCACCAAGGCUACGACGGAUAGCUGGUCUGAGAGGACGAUCAGCCACACUGGAACUGAGACACGGUCCAGACUCCUACGGGAGGCAGCAGUGGGGAAUCUUGCGCAAUGGACGAAAGCCUGACGCAGCGACGCCGCGUGGGGGAUGAAGGCCUCGGGUUGUAAACCCUUUCAGCAGGGACGAAGGCGAAAGUGACGGUACCUGCAGAAGAAGCGCCGGCUAACUACGUGCCAGCAGCCGC